ACGGCCCAAACUCCUACGGGAGGCAGCAGUGGGGAAUAUUGCACAAUGGGCGCAAGCCUGAUGCAGCGACGCCGCGUGAGGGAUGACGGCCUUCGGGUUGUAAACCUCUUUCAGCAGGGAAGAAGCGAAAGUGACGGUACCUGCAGAGGAAGCGCCGGCUAACUACGUGCCAGCAGCCGCGGUAAUACGUAGGGCGCAAGCGUUGUCCGGAAUUAUUGGGCGUAAAGAGCUCGUAGGCGGUUUGUCGCGUCUGCUGUGAAAGCCCGGGGCUCAACCCCGGGUCUGCAGUGGGUACGGGCAGACUAGAGUGCAGUAGGGGAGACUGGAAUUCCUGGUGUAGCGGUGAAAUGCGCAGAUAUCAGGAGGAACACCGAUGGCGAAGGCAGGUCUCUGGGCUGUAACUGACGCUGAGGAGCGAAAGCAUGGGGAGCGAACAGGAUUAGAUACCCUGGUAGUCCAUGCCGUAAACGUUGGGCACUAGGUGUGGGGGACAUUCCACGUUUUCCGCGCCGUAGCUAACGCAUUAAGUGCCCCGCCUGGGGAGUACGGCCGCAAGGCUAAAACUCA
rnacentral:rRNA from 1 species